GAGUUUGAUCAUGGCUCAGAAUCAACGCUGGCGGCGUGCCUAAUACAUGCAAGUCGUACGCGAAGACCCCGCAAGGGGUGUAUAGCGUGGCAAACGGGUGAGUAACGCGUGGGCGACCUGCCUUCGAGUGGGGGAUAACCUUCCGAAAGGAGGGCUAAUACCGCAUGACAUACCGCGCUUGGAUGCGUGGAUAUCAAAGCCGGGGAUCGCAAGACCUGGCGCUUGAAGAGGGGCCUACGUCCGAUUAGCUAGUUGGUGGGGUAACGGCCUACCAAGGCGACGAUCGGUAUCCGGCCUGAGAGGGCGGACGGACACACUGGAACUGAGACACGGUCCAGACUCCUACGGGAGGCAGCAGUAGGGAAUUGUUCGCAAUGGGCGCAAGCCUGACGACGCAACGCCGCGUGGAGGAUGAAGGGCUUCGGCUCGUAAACUCCUUUCGACCGAGAUGAAUACCCAUGGGGCUAAUAUCCCUGUGGACUGACAGUAUCGAGGGAAGAAGCCCCGGCUAACUCCGUGCCAGCAGCCGCGGUAAUACGGGGGGGGCAAGCGUUGUUCGGAAUUACUGGGCGUAAAGGGUUCGUAGGUGGCCAACUAAGUCAGACGUGAAAUCCCUCAGCUUAACUGAGGAACUGCGUCUGAUACUGGAUGGCUUGAGUGCAGGAGAGGAGCGCGGAAUUCCCGA
rnacentral:rRNA from 1 species